rnacentral:rRNA from 1 species
CACGUAGGGCGCAAGCGUUGUCCGGAAUUAUUGGGCGUAAAGAGCUCGUAGGUGGUUUGUUACGUCUGCUGUGAAAACCUAGGGCUUAACCCUGGGCUUGCAGUGGAUACGGGCAGACUAGAGGUAGGUAGGGGAGAAUGGAAUUCCCGGUGUAGCGGUGAAAUGCGCAGAUAUCGGGAGGAACACCGGUGGCGAAGGCGGUUCUCUGGGCCUGACCUGACGCUGAGGAGCGAAAGCGUGGGGAGCAAACAGG